rnacentral:RNase_P_RNA from 1 species
UGCCAAAGAAGACAGUCAAUGUGAAAGGGUGGGGUAAGAGCCCACCAGUAGUUGUGGUAACAUAGCUAGCUAGGUAAACCCUGUCCGCAGCAAGAAACACCUGGUAAGAGCCUCACGGUUUCGUGUGUUUCGCUUGAGUGGUAUGGCAACAUAUCACCUAGAUAAAUAACUACCCAACGACAAAACCCGGCUUAUCGCUGUGCCUAUAUA